rnacentral:rRNA from 1 species
CCUAGGGAGGCUGCAGUCGAGAAUCAUUCACAAUGGGGGAAACCCUGAUGGUGCGACGCCGCGUGGGGGAAUGAAGGUCUUCGGAUUCUAAACCCCUGUCAUGUGGGAGCAAAUUAAAAAGAUAGUACCACACGCGGACGAGACGGCUAACUCUGUGCCAGCCGCCGCGGUAAUACAGAGGUCUCAAGCGUUGUUCGGAAUCACUGGGCGUAAAGCGUGCGUAGGCUGUUUCGUAAGUCGUGGGUGAAAGGCGCGGGCUCAACCCGCGGACGGCACAUGAUACUGCGAGACUAGAGUAAUGGAGGGGGAACCGGAAUUCUCGGUGUAGCAGUGAAAUGCGUAGAUAUCGAGAGGAACACUCGUGGCGAAGGCGGGUUCCUGGACAGUAACUGACGCUGAGGCACGAAGGCCAGGGGAGCGAAAGGGAUUAGAUACCCUUGUAGUC